AAAUAUGUAGAAAAUAUUGUGUGUGAGUGAGAAGCAGAGGGGGGAGUGAUGUUUAUAUUCAAUCUGUAAAAGAAUAAAAAUUAAUGUUGGUUGGGUGGUUCUUGUUGCUUUUAAAACCUUAGUCUAUAACUCUAUAUCAUUACUUGUUGUCUUUUUGUUUUAAAAGCUACUGGUAUAACAUAAAACUGUUUGUUUCUUUGAUUUGCUAAUCCUACAUAUCUUUUAUCAUGGCAUAUGACCAAUGGAAUUACUCAACACCGAUACAAAACUACAUAUGUAUAUAUAUAUAUAUGCAAUUAUUGAUUGAAAUUGGAUAGUAAUACAUGUAUAUUAAUUCACAUGACUAGUAAGAGUGAAUCGAUUAUAUGAAUGAUAGGUUAAAGUGAUUUGAAGUUUUUUAAUAGAGUUUGAUAUGUAUCGGUCUGAAAUUUACUAAUAAGACUUAUUUGUGGGCGUAUAUUAUUUUCUUAGUGAUUUGAAGUCUCUAUAUAAUUGGCUCAUAUAUUAGUGAUCAGUUAUUGGGUUUUAAAAGUAAGCUAGAGGGUGGGCUGGAAACUUCAAACCUAAUCAAGAUGAGUCAGAGUUGGUAAUUAAUCUUGUGGCGUACUCACUGUAAUGUGUAAAUUUGAACUAUAUUGUGGAUACAAUAUUACGACAUGUGACUUUCUGAAAAUAAAACCUACUUGUUGGGUAACGUAGAAAGUCGAAGGACUUGGAACGGGGACGAGUAUGGUUGUUUCCUCCACGCUUAAGAUAGAUCGUGCGUGUGAUUUCUUAGAUUUCUGAACAUUAUUGCUAGUCAAACCUCUCGCUGACUAUUUUUAAGUAAUUAAUUACACCUAGCAUAAUGGAAGGAAAUCU
rnacentral:lncRNA from 1 species